CAUUGCUAGAUAACAAAUACAGACAUGAUAUCAACUAGUAACUCUGUGUGACAUGUAUUAUUAUCUGUUUCCCAAAUGAAGAAACUAAGGUCCAGAGUUUUUACUGGAUCCUCUGCACCAGGAGGCUGCCUCACUGGAUGCUGGAGGAGGUUGGCAAAAGUUGGUAAAAUUGUGUUUUUCUGUAUUUGCCCUACUAUCCUCUCACGAAUCUAAGAUUAAACACACGAUCGUAUUGUGUUUGGAAGAUCACCACCUGUUCAAAACACUCAAGGCUCAUAGUUAACUGGCAGACCCAGCCCCUGAAGUGGAUUUACUGAAAGGCUGUGUCCUGUGUCUCCUUAAAACAGUGUUGGGUUUCAAAGUCAGCGUCAGGGCAGAGCUGCUAGUUAAAGGGGGUAGUCAGCAGGCCCAAAGGGCCCAGGUUGCCCUGGGAAAGCCUGGAGAAGGCUGUGAAGUUCCAGGCUUCAGGCAGGCAAGGAGGGAGCCAUAUGGUGUGUGGUGAAAAUGGCAGAAGAAAACAGAACCAACAAAGCUGAGGAGUGGGAGCACAGCUGAGACGGAGGUGAGAAAAGCACGGUGUAACGCAAGCUCUGAAGAGCAGUGAGGGAGAUCUUCACAGGCGGGAUGGCCGGAUGCUCCCCAGAGACAGACAAGGGCUCUGCUGGGGCUGCCAAGGGGAAGCAGUUGGUUUGAUAUUAGACCCAAGGGGAUUUACAUACUAAGGUCCACAUUAGAAUUUCUGUCCUAAUCUCUGAACUCAUUUACUUCUAAAAUGUAGAUGUAAAUGUUUCUGAGAAGACAGGGUCCAUUCAUUCAGGUUAAUGUCUACAAAGCACCUAUUAUGUGCUGGUGACCAGUGACAAUGGGACAUAUAUGGAAUAUAAAUAAAACAUGUUCCUCCCAAGAGGAACAGGGUCUGGAGGGAAAUGAUAAUUUUUGGAGACCUGUUGUAUGCCAGGUCCUAUUUGGGGUGAUUUACUUAAAUUAUCUCAUUUAAUCUUGACACCAAUUCUACAAAAUAGGCAUGAAUUUUAUAAGAAGCUGAGCUUAGAAAAAUUAAAUAACAUGCUUAAAGUUAUAUACAGCAAGAGUGUGUGUGUGUGUGUGUGUGUGUGUGUGUGUGUGUAUGUGUGUUUUAACCCAGGUUAAUCUAAUUCUAAAGUCCGUAAUUACUCCAUUGCCAACCCUGCCGCUCAGGCUUAUGGGUUCUUGUUUCUGGGUGCAGAUUUCAUGGAACUGUGUACAGAGGGCUUUGAGUCUGCAGAGGAGGAAGUGGUUAGUUCUGCCUUUGAGGAGGUGCAGGGAGGGGACAUGGUUUCACAGAAGCUAGAUCAGGGCAGUGUAGGGAGUGGAGGAGUUCAGUAGUUGGAGAAGGACAUUGUAGACAGAGGGAGUUGCAAGUCAGAUGGAACAGUGUGCCAGGGAUGGAAUGGAGGAAGACAGAGCUGGACAGACAGGCCAGGGCUAGACUCUGGAACCACAAGGAGGGGCUUUUUCUAAUACUGAUAGUCUGGAAAUCAACUGGCAUCAUAAUUCUAACAAGGAGGCAAGGUUUCAGUCUAUCAACCAGACUGGAGUUCAGAGAUGCCAUCAUAGCUCACUGAAGCCUUGAAUGCUUGGGGACAAGAGAUCUUUCUCCUUCAGCCUGUUGAGUAGCUGGGACUUCAGGUGAAUGCAGACAGGGUCCUGCUCCUGGUCGCUGCUGUACCGCUUGCUGUGAAGGCCCAGAGAAAAUUAUAGACUGUCCAUCCCAGGGCCAGGCCCUGAGAAAACUGAUGAAUUUGCCUUGUUCAGGGCUGCCUUGAUGUCUAUGCAUAGAUGUCUCAUCUUCGUGGCUACCAAAUCUGCAUACACAGAAAGAUCUCUUUUUUAAUCAUGCUGAUUUCUACAUGUUCUGAAUCUGAAUUUUUGGGAGUGGAGGGUCCAGAAAUCUUUAUUUAUAACAAGCUUCCAGGUGAGUCUUCUUUUUUUUUGAGACGGAGUUUCGCUCUUGUUACCCAGGCUGGAGUGCAAUGGCGCGGUCUCGGCUCACCGCAACCUCCACCUCCUGGGUUCAGGCAAUUCUCCUGCCUCAGCCUCCUGAGUAGCUGGGAUUACAGGCACGCGCCACCACGCCCAGCUAAUUUUUUGUAUUUUUAGUAGAGACGGGGUUUCACCAUGUUGACCAGGAUGGUCUCGAUCUCUUGACCUCGUGAUCCACCUGCCUCGGCCUCCCAAAGUGCUGGGAUUACAGGCUUGAGCCACCGCACCCCGGCCCCAGGUGAGUCUUCUACAGCCCGUUAGUGACUAUUGCAUGGACCAGUGUUUGGAAGCCACUGUUCUUCCUCACUCUCAACUGUUACCCCAUCUACUUCUGAGAGCUGGUUGAUUGUGAACUAAAUCUAAAUCACAAAUAACUUUGUUCUUCAUGAGAUAGAGGUGUUUUCUCUUACUUCCUGAAACUUCAUCUUAUUUGUAAGCUCCAUCUCUCAGUCAUAUACUGUGUAUUUACCUAGGAAGUACCCACAGUCAUCAAUUAUCCCCCUAACAUGGUCCCUAGACAUGUGCAUUCCUCUCUACAAGAGUGAGAUUAAGUGGUAUGCAUGGGUGAGGGAGGGGGGUGGUCUCUGGGAGGCACCAGCUGAUAGGAAGCCUUAAACACAGCUGGGUGUGGAAGAAGACUAGGAGAGUUGUAUUUACCAGCAUUUAAUCAGAGAGUGAAAAGCAUAGUUUGAAGGGUUACUUUGGAAUGUGGCUUGGAGAAGGGGUUUCUCUUGAGAAUCAUGCUUCAGUAACAACAGAUGGUCUUCUUGAGAUGGGACGAAUUUGGUUAGUGGCAGAGUUUAGAGAAGAAAACUAUUGUAUGGGAUCUUCUGGUUUGAGGCUUGGGCUCCAUAAAUCCAUCUCUGCCUUUCUCCUCAUAGGAGUCAUCAUCUUUUCUGAAUAGAUAGUAAACAAAUAUGGUCUACCAGGAGGGAGACUCCAAUGGGGAGUCAGACAGUACAGAUUUUAGAAUGGCUGUCACUGCUCUGUGGUAGCUUCCGUAAUCUUUCCCAGAAGACUGAAUCCCAGCCCAAGCAUUUUCUACCACUGUGGCAUGGUCUACAGAUUGACUCCUUAUAGGCUGAGCAUGUGUUACCUCUCCUACAGGUUGUGAACUUCUUAAGGGCAGUGCUCCUGUUUCAUGUACAAGUUUGUUUAUUCAUUCUUUACAUUAUUUAAUAGUUCUCUACUAUGGUUAAGGCACUUUGAUUUGACAAAGUAAAACCAUAGGAUAGGAAAGAGAUAAGAGGGCAAUAGCAAUGGUGAACAUUAGUCAAUUCUGAUAUUAAAUUUAUUUAUCUUUCAGGUACUUUGGAAGUUUAUUUAACCAUCAUGAUAAUCCUAUGAUGUGGUCACUAUUAUGAUACUUUUUUUACAGAUGAGAAAUUGAGACACAGGUUAAGAGAACUGUCAAGAGUUCAGAGAGAGAGAGACAGGAAGCGGUUGGUCACAUUCCAACAAAAGCCAGCCAAAGCCAUUUCUGCCUGGCAAUUAAAUGGAGGCUGGCCUUAAGUUGCGGGAAGAGACGUAUCUUUAGAAAUCAAUUGAUGAAGACACUCAAAAUUAGAAAUUAUAGCAAUUAUAGAAACAGAGUCUAAAGUUUUUAAUUUUCAAUAAAUUGCAAUAUGAUACUAAAAAGUUCAACCACCUG